rnacentral:lncRNA from 1 species
AUAUACCUUUUAUAUGUUCCUCCGUUAUUUUAAAAUAUUCCUACAGUUCAGUCCGUUAAGUUAACUUGAGUUAAACGUUAGUUAAAUCUCUACUAGAGUUAAAAAAAAUUAAAAUGACUUUUUUGCCCUUAAUUUAAGGACAAAUAAGAAAUGCCGGUGAUGGUAAAAGGGUAUAUUUGAAAAGAUAAAAAAUUAAAGUACUUUUUUGUACCCAUAACUUAAUGGCAAAUAAGAAAAGUCGGUGAUGGUAGAAGAGUAUAUUUGAAAGAAAAAAAAAUAAUCUUAUCUAGAUAACAGUUAUUGCUAAUAUUUUAUUAACAGAUUGGAACGUAAAAAAAUAUUUUCAAUAUUAGCUUUCUAGUAAAUCAGAAAGUCGAAAACUUUUCAAGAGUAUAUAAGUAAUUGCCCCUUUUUCCUUUU